CCCAGACUCCUACGGGAGGCAGCAGUGGGGGAUAUUGCACAAUGGGGGAAACCCUGAUGCAGCGACGCCGCGUGAGUGAAGAAGUAUUUCGGUAUGUAAAGCUCUAUCAGCAGGGAAGAAAAAAGACGGUACCUGACUAAGAAGCCCCGGCUAACUACGUGCCAGCAGCCGCGGUAAUACGUAGGGGGCAAGCGUUAUCCGGAUUUACUGGGUGUAAAGGGAGCGUAGACGGCAAUACAAGUCGGAAGUGAAAUACCCGGGCUUAACCUGGGAACUGCUUUGGAAACUGUAUGGCUGGAGUGCUGGAGAGGUAAGCGGAAUUCCUAGUGUAGCGGUGAAAUGCGUAGAUAUUAGGAGGAACACCAGUGGCGAAGGCGGCUUACUGGACUGUAACUGACGUUGAGGCUCGAAAGCGUGGGGAGCAAACAGGAUUAGAUACCCUUGUA
rnacentral:rRNA from 1 species